rnacentral:rRNA from 1 species
GCUCUCCUACGGGGGGCAGCAGUGAGGAAUAUUGGUCAAUGGACGCAAGUCUGAACCAGCCAAGUAGCGUGAAGGAUGACGGCCCUACGGGUUGUAAACUUCUUUUGUCAGGGAGCAAUUGGGUCCGCGCGUGGGCUUAGCGAGAGUACCUGAAGAAAAAGCAUCGGCUAACUCCGUGCCAGCAGCCGCGGUAAUACGGAGGAUGCGAGCGUUAUCCGGAUUUAUUGGGUUUAAAGGGUGCGUAGGCGGAAUAUCAAGUCAGCGGUAAAAAUUCGGGGCUCAACCCCGUCGUGCCGUUGAAACUG